UAUCUAUCUAUCUAUCUAUCCACGCUCUGUCUAUCCAUCUGUCUAUCUGUCUGUCUGUCUGUAAUGUAAUUUUUGUAAGAUCUAUUCUGCCGCGUCACUAAAGCGCUUCUUGCUCGCCUCGGAUCAGCGUUUAUAGAUACAUUCGCUGAUUUAUUCUUGAAUUCCGUUUUUUUUUUUUUUUUUUUGAUUUGAUUCACACCGGAAUCGAGACUUUAUGAUGUCAGUUAACAUGUUCAUUCCAGUGAUGGUUUACCGGAUAGUGUGAUAAUUUAACGGUGCUGUCUGUCAUUAAGUUCCCGGUAUCCGUAGAUGAAGGGAAGCUAAAAUCCGGAUUUUCUCCCGCGAGACUCGCUUUUCUUGUCAAAAGCUUCUUCGACGUCACGAUCAGCUGCAGGCGGCCAAUGAGCAGAGCUCACGGAAGAGCACGCGCUUUAAAGGCGUUUACAUCUGCUGCUCUCCGCAGAAUCAAAGCAAAGAUCACCAGCUCACAGACACCUGCUCAUGUGCGCCAUUCUUCAUUAAUUGUUCAAAGAACUCCGAAAUCUACAAGUCAAGUUCAAACUCGUUGCAUGACGUCAGACCUGGUGCACAAAAUCACAAGGGAGUAAACAUAGAAAGUUGUUCAAAGAACUCCGAAAUCUACAAGUCAAGUUCAAACUCGUUGCAUGACGUCAGACCUGGUGCACAAAAUCACAAGGGAGUAAACAUAGAAAGUCAGAUGAAGAGUGAAAAUGAGAAGCUCCAAAAAGAACUGGAGCAACACAAACUCAGAGAAAGAGAGUGGGAACAAAAACUUAAGGAAGUGGAGGACAGAUUAAGGCUGGAGACAGAUCUGAGGAGAAGAGAGAAGGAACUGGAGUCCAAAGAGGGAGGAAUGACAAAGAAAGAGCAAGAAAUCCAAACUACUGGAGAAGAGCAUCAUCUACACAGCAACGUAGAGCUAACUUCUCCUGGGUUAUCUCAAGACCAACGCAGAUCUCUAGAUGAAAGAGAGGGAGAGUUGAGGAGCAAAGCUGAAGAUUCACAUCACAGCAAAUCACUUGAGUUUGGAAAACCUGUGAGACGCAACAGCAACCCACUCGCACCACCUAAUAUUAAAUAUAUCAUUAAUCUACAUUUUGACAAAGAAAGAUUUGCAUUUGGCUUUUUAAAGCAAAUGCAUGUAGUUUUGUGUAUUUUUGUGACUUUGGAGAUCCUUACCGUUAAAUGUGUCGAAUUCACUGUUGUAAAUGCAACCAUCCUUUUGGCAGAAUUUCAUACCCACUUGCUAAACUUACACACCAAACAAAUGUUUGGAAAGAAAAAGAGGAAUCCAUUUUGUCAUUAUUUACUGACACUCAUAAUGUUCAAAACAUGUAAGACUGUCUUUGUCGCUGUUUUUCAUGCAAUUACUGUAAAUGCGCACUCAAGCUUAAAAAUAUCAUAAAGGUCCACACAUUAGUAUAUUCCAAGUGCUCUUUUGACUUUAAGUUUGAAAACUCUCCUUUAUUUUAAAUUAAUUGAAAGCAGGGGACAGAUACAUAGCUAAUUAAAACAAAUCUCCUAUUAAUUACAGUUGAAGAAAUAGUUAUAUUGAUUUUAAACAAUAUGAGGGUGAACUGACAUGUCAAACUAUCUAUUCAGUGGUUUAUUUUUUAACAGGAUGUUGGUCAAGAAAAGCGAAAGUAGAAAUGUUACUUGUUGAAAAAACAAAUAUGGAAUACCUGAUCUCUGAUUCCAAGUUCCAAUUCAUUUAGUAAAAAUAAGAGUUCUUUAUAGAAUCCAUGAAAUCUUUCCAUUGCACAAAGGGUUUUUUUGUAAUGAAAAAAGGUUCUUCACACUAAGAGAAAUUGUUAUUUUAAGGGGAACCAAAAAUGUUUGGUUUAAACCCAAAAAAACACCUUUAUUUUUAAAAGUAGAAGUUAUACUUUAUACUAUAUGUUACGUCCUCUGGACUUAAUUGUUUAUUAUCUGUCUUUAUUGUGGUGAUGUUUGUUUUUGUUGUGCAGUUUCCCUUCUCUCUCUCUCCCUCCCUCCCUCUCUUUUCCUCUGCGCAGUGUUAAUUGGAUGCAGCUGCAGGUGAUUAUGUGGAGGAUGGAGCAUGCUUAAAAGCUGAGGAGGAUGGCACUGAGGGAGGCGCGUCGGUCAUUCGACAUGUGGGUUGUCGUUUGAUGUGGUUUGGCGUUGGGAGCUUGCGGUGUAUGCGCGUUGCAGAGCUCCACGGUAUUGGCCGCUGCCGUUCUGCCCGCCGUCUCCUGCCCCAGACAUUCAUCGCACUGGUUGCCCUGAUGGUAGCUGUUGGGUGGUUGCCGUUCGAGUGAGAGUUCUUUGUUCGUAUGUUUGCUUUAAUGUAAUCUUUUGUUUGUUUUGGAAGCCGUAGGGAGGAGGUUGCCAUUUGCUUUAUGAUCCCUUCUUUUCUCCUGUUUUUGGACAGCUAGGGAGUAAAGGGGAGACUGAUGUAUUUUGUUUUGGGUUUUGGUUUUGUUAGGUAAGUUAAUGUUUAAUCAUGUCUUAGUUAGUUCCUCUUUUGUUUGUUAUUUUGGCCAUAACCCCUCCUGAAGAUUCACGCUUCCUGCUAUAUGUUACUUUGUGAAUUAAAAGCUUUCUCUUAAGUAUA